rnacentral:rRNA from 1 species
GAUGAACGCUGGCGGCGUGCCUAAUACAUGCAAGUAGAACGCUGAAGCUUGGUGCUUGCACCGAGCGGAUGAGUUGCGAACGGGUGAGUAACGCGUAGGUAACCUGCCUGGUAGCGGGGGAUAACUAUUGGAAACGAUAGCUAAUACCGCAUGACAACAGUUAUUGCAUGAUAACUGUUUAAAAGGGGCAAUUGCUCCACUACCAGAUGGACCUGCGUUGUAUUAGCUAGUUGGUGAGGUAACGGCUCACCAAGGCGACGAUACAUAGCCGACCUGAGAGGGUGAUCGGCCACACUGGGACUGAGACACGGCCCAGACUCCUACGGGAGGCAGCAGUAGGGAAUCUUCGGCAAUGGACGGAAGUCUGACCGAGCAACGCCGCGUGAGUGAAGAAGGUUUUCGGAUCGUAAAGCUCUGUUGUAAGAGAAGAACGAGUGUGAGAGUGGAAAGU